rnacentral:misc_RNA from 1 species
UAGAUCCCCUUUUUUGAAACCUCAUAGCAGUUUAUUGUUUUAAUCUCUUAAAUUGCUGACCCUUUUGGUUUGUUUAGAGGAAAAAUUCGAUCUUUUCUUCGAUUUUUUGUACGUGGGGUUGUUGUUUUCUGUUCUUCGAUUCCCCUUUUUUGCUGACCCUUUUGGUUUGUUAGAGGAAAAAUUCGAUCUUGGGAUUUGUAUUUUCUGUUUUUCAACUUGAUAGCAGUUUCAUCACCAUAAUCUCAUAGAUUUACUGGUUUUGUUAGAGGAAGCCGAUUGAACUUUUCUCUUUGAUUUUGUACGUGGGGUUUGGCAUUUCGUGAUCAUUUAUCCUUUUUGUCAACUUGAUAGCAGUUAAAUAACCGCACCUGGGUGGUUUUCAGUUUCAAAUUUUAUUUUCUGUUUUCCUUCUAUCAUUUGGUCAAUUUGAAAGGAAGGCGAAAAGAUUUCGAGAUCAUGGUGAAGGAGACUGAAUAUUAUGACAUUUUGGGGGUUAGCCCUACUGCUACCGAAUCUGAGAUUAAGAAAGCAUACUACAUUAAGGCACGACAGGUUCAUCCUGAUAAAAAUCCAAAUGACCCUCUAGCUGCACAGAAUUUUCAGGUGUUGGGAGAGGCUUAUCAGGUACUGAGCGAUCCAUCUCAACGGCAGGCUUAUGAUGCACAUGGAAAAUCAGGAAUUUCAACAGAUGCAAUCAUUGAUCCUGCAGCAAUUUUUGCUAUGCUUUUCGGAAGUGAACUUUUUGAGGAGUACAUAGGUCAGCUUGCUAUGGCAUCAAUGGCUUCAUUGGAUAUUUUCACUGAAGGUGAAGAUUUUGAUGCUAGAAAGUUACAAG